GAAAUGCGAUAAGUAGUGUGAAUUGCAGAAUUCAGUGAAUCAUCGAAUCUUUGAACGCACAUUACGCCCCUUGGUAUUCCAUGGGGCAUGCCUGUUCGAGCGUCAUUUGUACCCUCAAGCUCUGCUUGGUGUUGGGUGUUUGUCCCCGUCUCCGCGCGUGGACUCGCCCCAAAGUGAUUGGCAGCCGGCGUACUGGUCCCGGAGCGCAGCACAUGUCGCGCAAACGAGUGCCUUGGUACGGCGGCGUCCAUAAGCCCCUCUCUCACGCUCUUGACCUCGGAUCAGGUAGGGAUACCCGCUGAACUUAAGC
rnacentral:misc_RNA from 1 species